GACGAACGCUGGCGGCGUGCUUAACACAUGCAAGUCGAACGCCCCGCAUGGGGAGUGGCAGACGGGUGAGUAACACGUGGGAACGUACCCUUUGGUUCGGCAUAACUUGGGGAAACUAAAGCUCAUACCGGAUCAGACCUUAAGGGGAAAGGUGUAGUGUCCGAAGGAGCGGCUCGCGCAGGAUUGGCUAGUUGGUGAGGUAAUGGCUCACCAAGGCGACGAUCAGUAGCUGGUCUGAGAGGAUGAUCAGCCACACUGGGACUGAGACACGGCCCAGACUCCUGCGGGAGGCAGCAGUGGGGAAUAUUGGACAAUGGGGGCAACCCUGAUCCAGCCAUGCCGCGUGAGUGAUGAAGGCCUUAGGGUUGUAAAGCGCUUUUACCCGGGACGAUAAUGACUGUACCGGGAGAAUAAGCCCCGGCUAACUUCGUGCCAGCAGCCGCCGUAA
rnacentral:rRNA from 1 species